AAUUAACGGUAAUUUAUAGAAAACGAAAGAAAUAGCAAUACGAUCCCGAUUGUCCCCGAUUCCUGCCCAUUCAAAACCCUAGCUUCAGCUUAGUUCCGAUAUCGGCCAUGGCGACCCCACCGUCUUCUUCCACAGCUCCUGCAUCGACUUCCUCUCAAUUCACAUACGCGAACGCUUCGUCGUCAUCGUCCUACUUCCCUAUGCCCUUUCACCUCCAGCAACCCCAGUAUCCCACGCCUUACGCCCCCGCAGCGCCACCAGCCCCGCCCGUCUACCCAGCCCCGGCCCCGGCCCCGGCCCCGACCCCGACCUCUGGUGUCUACUCUCUCCCUCAGCAGUAUCAACAGGCUCAGCAGUUAUUUCAAAGGGAUGCACAGACGAUUACACCUGAAGCUCUUGAGAGUGUGAAGGCUGCCCUGGCAAACAGUGAAAUCGAGCACAAAGCUGAAGCUAAGAAGAAAGCCAUCCCUCGUAAAGCUGCUGGGCAGUCUUGGGAGGACCCAACUCUUGCAGAAUGGCCAGAAAAUGAUUAUCGCCUAUUUUGUGGUGAUCUUGGUAAUGAGGUGAAUGAUGAUGUCCUUUCAAAAGCAUUUUCACGAUUUCCUUCCUUUAACAUGGCCAGAAUUUAUAUUUCAAGAGAACAGAGCACUUAAUGUUUUAUUUAUUCUAAGGUUGGACUGCUGGAAUCAACAUUUGGAGCUUGAUUUGGUUGAAUUUGACCUGACUCUCAUGGGCUAGCUUGAGUUAUUGCUUGUUGGGUCGAUUUGAACAAGUUUGGAGUCAGGUCGUUAGAGAUAAGAGGACUGGCAAAACCAAGGGCUUUGGAUUUGUUAGCUUUGCUAACCCUUCUGACCUAGCUGGAGCUCUCAAGGAAAUGAAUGGUAAAUAUGUGGGAAAUCGGCCAAUCAAACUUCGCAAAAGUAACUGGAGGGAGAGGAUAGAUUAUGACGCACUAGAUAGACAAAAGAACUACAGUCAGAAGAAACCAAAGCUUUCGAAGAAGAGUAUUUUGCACAAGUGAGCCAGAGAUUUGUAGAAGACAUGGUGAAUAUGUUCUUUAUUUCUCAAUUCCAACUCGACUCUUGGUGUGAAUUAAGUUAAUGUAGGGAUAUGUGAAGAAGUUUAAUGAUGAUAAUUUUGAGGAACGAACAAUAAAGGAAUUUAUAAAAAGUGACACCUUAUUAUCUUUUGA